GUAGAUAUAGUUUAAUUUUAAAAUAAUGGUUUGUGGCACCAUUGAUUCACCUGUGAUUUCUACC
rnacentral:tRNA from 1 species